rnacentral:rRNA from 1 species
AGAGUUUGAUCCUGGCUCAGGAUGAACGCUGGCGGCGUGCUUAACACAUGCAAGUCGAACGGGGAUGCUUAUGGAAGGAGUGCUUGCACUUUGGAAAUGAGUAUCUUAGUGGCGGACGGGUGAGUAACGCGUGGGUAACCUGCCCCAUACCGGGGGAUACCACCUGGAAACAGGUGCUAAUACCGCAUAAGCGCACGGGAGCGCAUGCUCCUGUGUGAAAAACUCCGGUGGUAUGGGAUGGACCCGCGUCUGAUUAGCCAGUUGGCAGGGUAACGGCCUACCAAAGCGACGAUCAGUAGCCGGCCUGAGAGGGUGGACGGCCACAUUGGGACUGAGACACGGCCCAAACUCCUACGGGAGGCAGCAGUGGGGAAUAUUGCACAAUGGGGGAAACCCUGAUGCAGCGACGCCGCGUGAGUGAAGAAGUAUUUCGGUAUGUAAAGCUCUAUCAGCAGGAACGAGACAAGACGGUACCUGACUAAGAAGCCCCGGCUAACUACGUG